GACGAACGCUGGCGGCGUGCUUAACACAUGCAAGUCGAGCGGAAAGGCUCCUUCGGGGGUACUCGAGCGGCGAACGGGUGAGUAACACGUGAGUAAUCUGCCCUGCACUUUGGGAUAGCCUUGGGAAACUGAGAUUAAUACCGGAUAUUUACAUGGGCCUGCAUGGGUUUGUGUGGAAAGCUUUUGUGGUGUGGGAUGUGCUCGCGGCCUAUCAGCUUGAUGGUGGGGUAAUGGCCUACCAUGGCUUUGACGGGUAGCCGGCCUGAGAGGGUGACCGGUCACACUGGGACUGAGACACGGCCCAGACUCCUACGGGAGGCAGCAGUGGGGAAUAUUGGACAAUGGGCGGAAGCCUGAUCCAGCAACGCCGCGUGAGGGAUGACGGCCUUCGGGUUGUAAACCUCUUUCGGUACCGACGAAGUUCCUCAUUUUUUGUGGGGGGUGACGGUAGGUAUUAAAGAAGCACCGGCCAACUACGUGCCAGCAGCCGCCGUAAUAC
rnacentral:rRNA from 1 species